rnacentral:misc_RNA from 1 species
UCCGGUUUGUCACCGGCAGUCUCAUUAAAGUGCCCAACUAAAUGAUGGCAAUUAAUGACAAGGGUUGCGCUCGUUGCGGGACUUAACCCAACAUCUCACGACACGAGCUGACGACAGCCAUGCAGCACCUGUGUUACGGUUCCCUUUCGGGCACUCCUACCUCUCAGCAGGAUUCCGUACAUGUCAAGGGUAGGUAAGGUUUUUCGCGUUGCAUCGAAUUAAUCCACAUAAUCCACCGCUUGUGCGGGUCCCCGUCAAUUCCUUUGAGUUUUAAUCUUGCGACCGUACUCCCCAGGCGGUCAACUUCACGCGUUAGCUACGUUACCAAGAAAGUCACCUCUCCCGACAACUAGUUGACAUCGUUUAGGGCGUGGACUAC